UACGUAGGGGGCGAGCGUUGUCCGGAAUUAUUGGGCGUAAAGAGCUCGUAGGCGGUUUGUCGCGUCGGCUGUGAAAUCCCGAGGCUCAACCUCGGGCCUGCAGUCGAUACGGGCAAACUAGAGUGUGGUAGGGGAGACUGGAAUUCCUGGUGUAGCGGUGGAAUGCGCAGAUAUCAGGAGGAACACCGAUGGCGAAGGCAGAUCUCUGGGCCGUAACUGACGCUGAGGAGCGAAAGCGUGGGGAGCGAACAGG
rnacentral:rRNA from 1 species